AUUCUAUCCAGCUUCCUGUAUUCACCCAUCAUAGUGGUGGCUUGAGCCCCUGAAGAUCCGGAAACAAUAUCUUUAGCCAUGAACACUCCAGAAAUCCUGCUUUGGACAGCAACAGCAUUUCUAUCUUUGAGUUCCAGCCAGGGACAAGGCAGUGUCACGCAAACACAAGGGCAGCUGGCAAAGUUGGGGGGUCAGACUGUCACCCUGGAGUGUACUUUCUCCACUGGAUACCAGAACUAUUACUUAUUUUGGUACAGACAGCAACGAUCAGGGGCAAUGGAUUUCCUCUUCCGAAUAGAUGAGAAUAACGAGGAAGAGAAUGGAGCCGGGAGACGGUUUUCUGCAGAAUUCAGGAAAUCCUCAAAAUUCUUCAGUUUAACCAUUAAAGAGCUAGAGCCGACGGACUCGACGAUGUAUUUCUGUGCUCUGUGGGAAGACACUAUGAGACCUUUAAUAGGGAGCCCUGUACAAAAACCCACCCGCUUGGCUUUCUCAUCCUCAUAAACAACUGCAGAGUAGUAUCCACAGGCCAAGACAGAUGGUUAAACUAGAAGAUGGGGCUGGUAUAAACCACAUGACCAAUACCUAUGAAGACUUAUGAGCCUAAUUCACCAUUGUGUUACCCCAGAUUAACCUCAGUUUACCCACUCUGGGUCUGCUCCUCAACUGCAGUGAAUCACUGUGGGGCAGAUGGAGUCAAUUGGGCCAGGUCCACCACAGUAUCAAUCAGCUGUACUUCCAUUGGGGCUGGAUUCCCCUAGCUGGAGUAAACCAGCAUGGGGCCAAUGGGACAGAUACACAAAGGCACAACACACGGAUGCAUGCAGAGAUAUACACACGUACAAACACAAACAUAGAGACAAACAGAAAGACACCCACACCCACAAAACCGGCACACACAACACAGAGCUUUUAAGUCUUCCCACCAUGUCUUUAAUUCAGUUCUCACCAAGUAGCAACAAGAAGGACAAUAAAAAGGAAAAUGGAUAAAAAAAAAACGUCAAAAAGUCAGAAACCGACCUUCCAGGAAGUGCAGUGGAAGGAAUUUGUCCCACGAGUUCUCACCUGCACUUCAGCUGCAGAACCCAGUCCGUUUCCUGUGUCUGUUAUGCAUUUCCCGAAUCCCGCCUCAAAUUCCCAGCCUAGACCUGCCAAUGCACCUGGCUGCCCUUGAACGUGAGUGUCUCGUUGCAGGUGCGGUGCUGGGUGACUCGGUCUGGUCCAAGGAACACGAGGUGUCCAGGUCAGAAGGAGACACCGUGACCCUCAGCUGUUCUUAUGAACCCAGCUACACUGCUGGUGUCUAUCUCUACUGGUACCACCAGUACCCAAACCGAGCCCCGCAGUACAUCCUCCAGAGAGGAACAAAAGGGAAAAGGAGCUGUCAUACCGCAGGUUUCA